GGGCCAAUGAAGCAUAUAUCCGGAAUUUGGCUGGGCCGGGUGACCAACCGGUUUUGUUAUAUUUAUUUAGAUACUCGCUGAUCGCGUUUUCAGAGUUCAUUUUCUAUCCCUUCCCUUGUUUUUCACAGUCCUCUCGUCUUGCUUUUGCUUGCUGGUGAAUCUCCAGACAUGCUGUCACAGACGCCUUUUGUCAUGAGGCCGGUCAGGCCAAGGCCGCCUUUUGCUGAAACACUGAGCCUGGUCACGGAAACGCCACCUUAUGAAAGGUUCAUGAGCCCGACCAUGGGAACGAUACAGAUUGCUGUCUUGGCUGCAUUUCAUAAAUCUCAUAAGCCUUUAGCGGCUGAGCCUUUAGCUUUAAAAGAGUUGGAGGCUGCUAUUUUGGCUGCCAUUCAAAAAGGUCGAGACGAGGCUUUAGCUUUACAGAAGAAGGAAAAGUUGGAAGCUGAUAUGGCUGAGGCUUCCAUUCAGAAGGGUCGAGACGAGGCUUUAGCUUUACAGAAGAAGGAAGAGUCGGAAGCUGAUAGGGCUUUGCCUACUGAUAUGGUCCGAGGAGCUGAUGAAAGAAGAAAGAAAAAGAAUGGGAUGAGGAAAAGAAAGAGAAAGAAGUGGAUGAUGUAUCAUGAAAGAAGAGGGAAAAAGAAUGUGAUGAACGGGGUAAAGAGAAAGGAGCGCAGCCCAGGAGCUGAUGAAAGAAGAGGGAAAAAGAAUGCAAUGAACGGGAGAAAGAGAAAGAAGCGCAGCCCAGAAGCUGAUGAAAGAAGAGGGAGAAAGAAUGUGAUGGCCGAGAGAAAGAGAAAGAAGCUCAGUGACUGAUGUUGGAGCAGGGCAAAUUGUGCAGAUAUAAUGGAUUAUUUCUUGAAAAGAUGCUUUUACCAUUCUGGUUUGUACAACUCUGAGGAAGACUUUCUAGAUUUGGAUUCCAAGUUAAAAGAGAAAGAGGGUGGAAGACUUUCAAACAGGUUGUUUUAUUUGUCAAUACCUCCAAACAUAUUUGUGGAUGUGGUGAGAUGUGCUAGCCUCAAAGCUUCUUCAAAAAAUGGCUGGACAAGGGUAAUUGUCGAAAAGCCGUUUGGUCGUGAUUCUGAAUCCUCUAGUGAGCUAACAAGAAGGUUGAAGCAAUACCUCACUGAAGACCAAAUAUUCAGAUUUGACCAUUACUUGGGUAAGGAGCUUGUGGAGAAUCUCUCCGUGCUUCGUUUUUCAAAUCUUGUUUUUGAGCCUCUAUGGUCCCGGAAUUACAUUCGUAAUGUGCAGCUAAUAUUUUCUGAAGAUUUUGGAACAGAAGCAAGAGGAGGUUAUUUUGAUAACUACGGAAUCAUUCGUGAUAUAAUGCAAAAUCACCUUGUACAAAUACUAGCAUUGUUUGCAAUAGAGCCACCUGUCAGCUUGGAUGCCGAGGACAUCAGAAAUGAGAAGGUGAAGGUUCUGAGAUCAAUGAGACCAAUACAGCUUGAAGAUGUUGUAGUUGGUCAAUAUAAGGGCCACAGUAAGGGUGGUAGAUCAUAUCCUGCUUAUAUAGACGACUCAACUGUUCCAAUGGGUAGUCUUACUCCAACAUUUGCUGCAGCAGCUCUGUUUAUUGGCAAUGCCAGAUGGGACGGAGUUCCUUUUCUCAUGAAAGCUGGCAAGGCCCUUCAUACUAAACGUGCAGAAAUCAGAGUACAAACAUGUCCCAGGUAACUUGUACAAACGGAACUAAAUGACAUAAUCCUAAUCGAACCAAGUUUUAAACCCUAAUUUUAUGUAA